rnacentral:rRNA from 1 species
GAUGAACGCUAGCGGCAGGCUUAAUACAUGCAAGUCGUGGGGCAGCAGGUUUGUAGCAAUACAGAUGCUGGCGACCGGCAAACGGGUGCGGAACACGUACAGAACCUUCCUUUGAGCGGGGAAUAGCCCAGAGAAAUUUGGAUUAAUACCCCAUAGUAUAAUGAAGUGGCAUCACUUUAUUAUUAAAGAUUUAUCACUCGAAGAUGGCUGUGCGGCUGAUUAGGUAGUUGGCGGGGUAAAGGCCCACCAAGCCUGCGAUCAGUAACUGGUGUGAGAGCACGACCAGUCACACGGGCACUGAGACACGGGCCCGACUCCUACGGGAGGCAGCAGUAAGGAAUAUGGUCAAUGGAGGCAACUCUGAACCAGCCAUGCCGCGUGGAGGAUGAAGGUCCUCUGGAUUGUAAACUUCUUUAUAUGGACGAAAAAAGGCUUUCUAAGUCGUCUGACGGUACCA